AUACGUAGGUGGCGAGCGUUGUCCGGAAUUACUGGGCGUAAAGGAUGCGUAGGUGGAUAUUUAAGUGGGAUGUGAAAUCCCCGGGCUCAACCCGGGAACUGCAUUCCAAACUGGGUAUCUAGAGUGCAGGAGAGGAAAGCGGAAUUCCUAGUGUAGCGGUGAAAUGCGUAGAUAUUAGGAGGAACACCAGUGGCGAAGGCGUCUUUCUGGACUGAAACUGACACUGAGGCAUGAAAGCGUGGGUAGCAAACAGGAUUAGAUACCCUGGUAGUCCACGCCGUAAACGAUGGGUACUAGGUGUAGGAGGUAUCGACCCCUUCUGUGCCGUCGUUAACACAAUAAGUACCCCGCCUGGGGAGUACGGUCGCAAGACUAAAACUCAAAGGAAUUGACGGGG
rnacentral:rRNA from 1 species